rnacentral:rRNA from 1 species
AUUGAACGCUGGCGGCAUGCCUUACACAUGCAGGUCGAACGGCAGCACGGGAGCAAUCCUGGUGGCGAGUGGCGAACGGGUGAGUAAAGUAUCGGAACGUGCCCAGUCGUGGGGGAUAACGUAGCGAAAGUUACGCUAAUACCGCAUACGAUCUAUGGAUGAGAGCGGGGGAUCGCAAGACCUCGCGCGAUUGGAGCGGCCGAUUCCAGGUUAGGUAGGUGGUGGGGUAAAGGCUCACCAAGCCGACGAACUGUAGCUGGUCUGCGCGGACGACGAGCCACACUGGGACUGAGGCACGGCCCAGACUCCUACGGGAGGCAGCAGUGGGGAAUGUUGGACAAUGGGCGCAAGCCUGAUCCAGCCAUGCCGCGUGCAGGAUGAAGGCCUUCGGGUUGUAAACUGCUUUUGUACGGAACGAAAAGGUUUGACUUAAUACGUUGGACUCAUGACGGUACCGUAAGAAUAAGCACCGGCUAACUACGUGCCAGCCGCCGCAGUAAUAC